AUUGAACGCUGGCGGCAGGCCUAACACAUGCAAGUCGAGCGAGCGGCGGGCGGGUGAGUAAUGUAUGGGGACUGCCAGAUCGAGGGGGAUAACUACUGGAAACGGUGGCUAAUACCGCAUACUAUCGGAUAACCCAUAUGGGAUAAGCUCGGAGGUGGGGAAACGGCGCAACUAGGCGACGAUCUCUAGCUGGUCUGCGAGGAUGAUCAGCCAAACUGGGACUGAGACACGUCCCAGACUCCUACGGAGGCAGCAGUGGGGAAUAUUGCACAAUGGGGGCAAGCCUGAUGCGGCGAUGGCGCGUGUAUGAAGAAGGCCUUAGGGUUGUAAAGUACUUUCAGCGGGGGGGCGUUACCCGCAGAAGGAGCACCGGCUAACUCCGUGCCAGCAGGCGGGGUAAUUC
rnacentral:rRNA from 1 species